rnacentral:rRNA from 1 species
GACGUAGGAGGCGAGCGUUGUCCGGAUUCAUUGGGCGUAAAGAGCGCGCAGGCGGCUUGGUAAGUCGGAUGUGAAAACCCGAGGCUCAACCUCGGGCGUGCAUCCGAUACUGCUCGGCUAGAGGUAGGUAGGGGAGAUCGGAAUUCCUGGUGUAGCGGUGAAAUGCGCAGAUAUCAGGAGGAACACCAGUGGCGAAGGCGGCCAACUGGUCCGGUACUGACGCUGAGGUGCGAAAGCGUGGGGAGCAAACAGG